GCAUGAUGCAGCCAAUUAAAAUCAUGCUGGCUGAAACCUAAAGAACAUAAAGAAACUGACAGAAGCAGUAGAGUAGAGAGAAGGAGCCAGAGAAGUUGAAAUAACUGCAAAAGACAGCAAUUGCCAUAACUGCAGUUUUUUGGACUUUUCAGCUCUAGCGUGGAAAAAGAUACAGAGAUUGCCAAAUGUUUUCUGCAUGAAUUGCCCUGCUCUCCUGUUUGAUUUCCUUGAGGAAGACAAAGGAAAUGCAGCGCAAAUUACUUAAUAACGGAAGAACUGCAUUGUAUCAGUCCGGCAUUUUUCAGCCCAACCCCACUGGAAUGCCCUUUUAAUUCCACUUCGAUGUAGUGAGGAAGUUAUAUCCCGCUCCAUUUCCUGCCAACACUGGAGCUGUGAGGCUCAAAUUCUUCAUCUACACAUGAGGCACAGGAGCUGUCUAGCAUGUUGCAGAACAAGGUCACUGAAACGGCAGGAGAGCUGUGUCCAGCUAUGGAGUGAGACACAAGAGACAGAGCUGUUCAAAAGGAGCAUUCUCCAAGGUCCAGGAAGCAACUGGAAGCUUUUAUUGUUGGCCCUGCAAGUCCACCUCUAUCUGGUCUACCCUUGGGGCUGAUCCCAGUCAGAUUCAAAACAAAGGCCUUUCCUCAGGAGCAGUACUGUCUUUACUGUAAAUAUUUGGACAUAGAUAGAAAAGCUGCCCGGACUUUCAAGAGCAAGCUAUCCCAUCCCUGGCCUGGCCCGAAAUGGCUUUGCUCAAAGCAGCUCCCCAGGCAGCCUUUAGCUCUGUGCAGAUUUGUGCAAUGUGUGGACACUAGUAAAGGUGGAUGAAAAACAGACUAGGGAUGUGCCGAAACGUGAUAUAGCUGUCCAAAUUGCCUGCACCGACCUUUAAAUGUGAAGGCCAGGAUGGUGGCAAUGGCAGCGAAUGGUGGAGGAACAGGUACAGACCUGCUCUAGUCUGCUUUAAAGGGGCUGGGUAAGCCUUCAAAUUUAAAGGGAGGUGCAGGAGAGUCUGACAGCCAAAUUGCAUUUCAGCACAUCCCUAUAACAGACUGAACUGAGAAUAAGGAAGACAUCAUAGCAGCAGCUUGCCAACUCCUACCCCACUGCAUUUUCCCCUUUGUUAGUUGCAAGUU